rnacentral:rRNA from 1 species
AACGAACGCUGGCGGCAUGCCUAACACAUGCAAGUCGAACGCGACCUUCGGGUCUAGUGGCGCACGGGUGCGUAACGCGUGGGAACCUGCCCUUAGGUUCGGAAUAACUCCCCGAAAGGGGUGCUAAUACCGGAUAAUGUCUUCGGACCAAAGAUUUAUCGCCUUUGGAUGGGCCCGCGUUGGAUUAGCUAGUUGGUAGGGUAAAAGCCUACCAAGGCGACGAUCCAUAGCUGGUCUGAGAGGAUGAUCAGCCACACUGGGACUGAGACACGGCCCAGACUCCUACGGGAGGCAGCAGUGGGGAAUAUUGGACAAUGGGCGAAAGCCUGAUCCAGCAAUGCCGCGUGAGUGAUGAAGGCCUUAGGGUUGUAAAGCUCUUUUACCCGGAAUGAUAAUGACAGUACCGGGAGAAUAAGCUCCGGCUAACUCCGUG